UCUAUUGUGAAUUACAUGAAAUGUUAUUUUAAGCUGCAUUUUAAACAUGUAGUAAUAAUAGGUCUUUUUGUGUUUUAAAGACAGCUACAACAAAGGCAUCCAUCCAGAAAGACAUGAGCCUUCCAGCCACACCAAGACUCAUAAUCUUGGGAACACAUUUCUCUCUUCCACAAAGUGGAUGGUAAGCAUUGAGGGAAAGGUGGCCUAGGUUUUGGAUGAGCACCUGGGAUUUGCAGGUGCCUUAUCUGUAUUCUUCAGCUUCUUCUACAUUUUCAACAUUGAAUACCAGGACUGCCUGUGCAACACUGGAACUCAUACAACGGUUUUUCUUGAGGAUAAACCCAGAGGAGGGAACAAAAUGCACCGCCAAAACCGGAGUGAGUUGGAAGACAGGGGACGUUGUGAAGAGGAAGACAACAGUAAUCAACAAUAGAGU